rnacentral:rRNA from 1 species
UAGGUUAUGGAGGCAUUGCCUGCCCAGUGACAACUGUUUAACGGCCGCGGUAUCCUGACCGUGCAAAGGUAGCAUAAUCAUUUGUUCUCUAAAUAAGGACUUGUAUGAAUGGCCGCACGAGGGUUUUACUGUCUCUUACUUCCAAUCAGUGAAAUUGACCUUCCCGUGAAGAGGCGGGAAUGCACAAAUAAGACGAGAAGACCCUAUGGAGCUUUAACUAACCAACCCAAAGAGAAUAGAUUUAACCAUUAAGGAAUAACAACAAUCUCCAUGAGUUGGUAGUUUCGGUUGGGGUGACCUCGGAGAAUAAAAAAUCCUCCGAGCGAUUUUAAAGACUAGACCCACAAGUCAAAUCACUCUAUCGCUCAUUGAUCCAAAAACUUGAUCAACGGAACAAGUUACCCUAGGGAUAACAGCGCAAUCCUAUUCAAGAGUCCAUAUCGACAAUAGGGUUUACGACCUCGAUGUUGGAUCAGGACAUCCUGAUGGUGCAACCGCUAUCAAAGGUUCGUUUGUUCAACGAUUAAAGUCCUACGUGAUCUGAGUUCAGACCGG